AUUGAACGCUGGCGGCGUGCCUAACACAUGCAAGUCGAGCGGCAGCGCGGGGCAACCCUGGCGGCGAGCGGCGGACGGGUGAGCAAUGUUUGGGAAUCUGCCUAUUAGUGGGGGACAACCCGGGGAAACUCGGGCUAAUACCGCAUACGCACUACGGUGGAAAGCCGGGGACCGCAAGGCCUGGCGCUAAUAGAUGAGCCCAAAUCGGAUUAGCUAGUUGGUGAGGUAAUGGCUCACCAAGGCGACGAUCCGUAGCUGGUCUGAGAGGACGACCAGCCACACCGGAACUGAGACACGGUCCGGACUCCUACGGGAGGCAGCAGUGGGGAAUAUUGGACAAUGGGCGAAAGCCUGAUCCAGCGACGCCGCGUGGGUGAAGAAGGCCUGCGGGUUGUAAAGCCCUCUCGGUGGGGAAGAAAAGCCUCGACCUAACACGUCGGGGUCUUGACGUAACCCAUAGAAGAAGCACCGGCUAACUCUGUGCCAGCAGCCGCGGUAAUACAGAGGGUGCGAGCGUUAAUCGGAAUUACUGGGCGUAAAGCGCGCGUAGGCGGCUUUGCAAGUCGGGUGUGAAAUCCCCAGGCUAACUGGGAACUGCAUUCGAGACUGCAUUGCUAGAGUAUGGGAGAGGGAAGUGGAAUUUCCGGUGUAGCGGUGAAAAUGCGUAGAUAUCGGAAGGAACAUCAGUGGCGAAAGCGACUUCCUGGACCAAUACUGACGCUCAUGUGCGAAAAGCGUGGGGG
rnacentral:rRNA from 1 species